rnacentral:lncRNA from 1 species
GUCUUUGUCUCUUGCUGGCGCUGGCACAGGAACUUGGGAUCCGUCUCCUCUUUCGCCUCCUCCGCUUUGGGAGCCCCGGGCUACUCUUUCACAGCCCCUGUUGCCCUGUGAUCUGUAGGUCCUUGGGGACGCACAGUUAAGAUGACAGGACAUCCUGGAAGCUGGGAAAUGAUAUGUAUUCAUUUCCUACCACCGUAGUGGAAGAGAGAUUUUCCCUAUCUUUACAACUGAUAGCAUUUCCAACAGUAAGCUGUGAGAUUCUGCUUGAAAUCACCUCUCAAACAAAUAAAAAACAGACCUGGGAGACAUGCUACACUCAUUCUGCUGAGGAAAUAGGCAUCAUAGCUGGGAAACGGAUUCACAAGACCCAGGCUGUUCCCUACAUAUGUUUCCUCCUCCGACAUCAGUUCAUCAGUCAAUCAAGCCAUGUGAGAGUGGAGGCCUUGUAUUCCCUAUUAUUCUUGGGCACUCUACUCCAAGUAGGAAAAGGCCAGGAGGUCCUGUUAAAGGAUGCACUCAGAGCCCGGGCUCCCUAACAUAUGAGAGUGCUAACCAGCAGGUGUAGACUUUUCAGGAGUGAAGAAUGAGGCAGGCAUUCCAAACCUGGACCUUCAUCACCUUUUGUUUCAUCUCAAGACAAUUCUGAGGGACUGUUUUGGAGCGUGUCUGGAAGGUGAACCUUGAAGAAGAGUGUGGGCUUUGAUGUGACUCAGUUGAGAUCUUUCAUGGGGAGGCAGGAAUUCAAUGCCCAGAAUCUGGGCUGGUGUCUUUGAGGUCAGUAGGUUGCGUCUUUGUAUCCAAGUCCAUUGUUACUAGGUUGGAGGCUGGAGAUUCUAAAUGGCUUCCAGACCAUCUCUCUGAUUCUCUUUGGGAGAUGGGGUCUGAAAGACAAUGUCAGUAGUUUUGGGAAAUUCUAGAAAGUGUGCUUGGAAACGUGGGAAGAGCUCUUGCCUAGUGCCUAAAUGCUCCAUUUGCAGCUCUAGCCAAGUAGAUACUUGGUAGGUAUAGAGCCGGGUUUGCGUUUAUAUCAGCAAAACCUAUGUCAGAGUUGAAGAAGUAGUCAGGAAAAAGCGUCUUGGUCGCAGGCCGGGGAACAUCUUAAAAGCAAACUUCUAGCCUGCUGACUCUUGGCAAUGAGUGUUGGAUCCUGGCUAAAGUGCCUUGAAUGCAGCAUGAGGCCAAUCCAUGAAUCCAACUUCUCAUGGAGAAAUGUUAAUAUUUUUUCAGUUUGAAUCAAUCAGGGUGAAACUACCAUGCUAUUGGUUUGCUUACUUUUUAUUAUUUCAUGUAAAAUCUAAGACAAAAUACAUUAAAUGCUUAUUGACAUAUGUAUUUAUUCUUCACCAGGCUGAUAAUAUCUGCCUAAUUUUAAACUUUCUUCCAUUUUGUAGGUUUCAACUUAUUCUAUUGUAAGAUACUGUUAAAUCUAAUAGAGGCAUUGUCACUUUUACGUAUAAUUUUAUUUUAUUUCAUAUAUUUCCUAUUGGCUUUUUACAUUUAAAUUAUGGAGCACUUCAUCAUAUAAAAAACUUCAAUUAUAUUUAAACAGUAAGUCUUUGGAUUUUUUUGCCUUGUAAUUUCCAUAUUACAUAAUAAUGAGAUAAACAUUAAUGUUUUCAGGGUACUUUAAAUUUUAGAUAAUUACUCAUUGUAUUCAUGUGAAAUUUGUUUUUACUGCAUGUGUGGGUUGGAGGACUGUUUUCACUUCUGAUUCAUCUUUACUCUUAUCUCAUCAGAGCUCAUACCUCUUGUAGUUGGGGGAUUGCAGUUUAUAAUUCCAAUAAAUGGGGCAAAUUCAAUAAUAACAUAAUACAAAUGAGUUUGAAUGCAGGACAGGUCUUCAAAGCAUACACAACAUGGGCCUACAUAUGUACAACAAUAAUAAUUUAUAAGUUACUGUUUGGAUGGAAAGUAAAAGUACAGAAAAUUUGUUAAAGGAAAUUAAAAUGGAGAUCAUGUCUCAAUAAUCUCUGAGCAGACAAAAUUAGUUAGGUCUCAUAAGUGAUCUCAACCUCGCUUGAUUUGCAAAUACAAACAAAACUUAAAUUAUUUCUUGUAGCUGCAUAUUGAAAAAAGAGAAAUGAAGCUCAACCAGUCAGAAGUAGCCAACAACCUUAUAUAAAUAGAAACUGUCCAACAAGGUAAACAGACAAACAAAAAACAAUAAAAAAAGUUGUGCUACCACCAAAUGAUUUCUUUGUUUCUACAUUUUUCAAAUAAAUACUUGCUUCUUACACUGUCAAUGAAGCACUCAAUAUCUUUCCGUCUGAUAUUUUAUAAUUUAUCAAUUGCUCUUACUCAAAUAAACACUUUGCAAUUUCA